rnacentral:rRNA from 1 species
UACGUAGGGUGCGAGCGUUAAUCGGAAUUACUGGGCGUAAAGAGUGCGUAGGCGGAUAUGCAAGUUAGAUGUGAAAUACCUGGGCUUAACCUAGGAGGUGCAUUUAAGACUGUGUGUCUAGAGUUUGUCAGAGGGGGGUAGAAUUCCAAGUGUAGCAGUGAAAUGCGUAGAGAUUUGGAGGAAUACCAAUGGCGCAGGCAGCCCCCUGGGAUAAGACUGACGCUGUGGCACGAAAGCGUGGGUAGCAAACAGG